rnacentral:rRNA from 1 species
UACGUAGGUGGCAAGCGUUGUCCGGAUUUACUGGGCGUAAAGAGCGCGCAGGCGGCUGGUCAAGUCCGAUGUGAAAUCUCCCGGCUUAACUGGGAAACUGCAUCGGAAACUGAUCGGCUUGAAGGUGGGAGAGGGUAGUGGAAUUCCCGGUGUAGUGGUGAAAUGCGUAGAUAUCGGGAGGAACACCUGUGGCGAAGGCGGCCACCUGGACGACAACUGACGCUGAGACGCGAAAGCGUGGGUAGCAAACAGG